AGUAGUUUCAGAGGAGAAGAUUUUUGUAAAAGAUUACUAAGAUUUACGAAAAAUGGUUAAAAAUUGACUAUAAAGGGCAAUAACUCCUAAAGGGGUCAACUGACCAUUUCAGUCAUGUUGACUUAUUUGUAAAUCUUACUUUGCUGAACAUUAUUGCUGUUUACAGUUUAUCUCUAUCUAUAAUAAUAUUCAAGAUAAUAAC
rnacentral:lncRNA from 1 species